AUGGCCAUUCAGCAACAAAUAUGCUAAAAUUUGAAUGAUCAAAUUAAGAUUUGCAUGGCCCCUGAACAAGUAUAACAUGGAAAUUUGUGAAGUGUUCCAUAUUUAU